rnacentral:lncRNA from 1 species
UCCUCACCAGUGGGAGAUGCCCUGGACUUUCUGUUCCUUAAACACGGGAGUGACUGUGGUCCCAUGCGAGACCUUGAUUCCUGCUGUUCCUUACUCCCAGAACACUCUUCACCCUCGCACAACUGGCUCCUCCUACUUGUUCCGCUUUCAGCUCAAAUGCCCUCCCUGACCAGUCAAAAGUUCAAUUUGCUUUUCUCGCCCAUCUCUAGCACCUCACCCAGUGCCAUUUCCUCCACAGCACUUAGUAAAUCUCACUUGGUUAGUGACUGUCUACCCUUUCUAAUAAGUUCUC